AGAAUCAACGCUGGCGGCGUGCCUCAGACAUGCAAGUCGAACGCGAAAGUCCCCUUCGGGGGACAAGUAGAGUGGCGCACGGGUGAGUAACACGUAGGUAAUCUACCUUUGGAUGGGGAAUAACAACCGGAAACGGUUGCUAAUACCGCAUAAUGCAGCGGCACCUAAUGGUGACAGUUGUUAAAGCGGGGGAUCGAAAGACCUCGCGUCUAAAGAGGAGCCUGCGGCGGAUUAGCUAGUUGGUAAGGUAAUGGCUUACCAAGGCUACGAUCC
rnacentral:rRNA from 2 species